AACGGCAGCACGGACUUCGGUCUGGUGGCGAGUGGCGAACGGGUGAGUAACAUAUCGGAACGUAUCCAAUAAUGGGGGAUAACUAAUCGAAAGGUUGGCUAAUACCGCAUACGCCCUACGGGGGAAAGCUAGGGACCUUCGGGCCUGGCGUUAAUGGAGCGGCCGAUAUCUGAUUAGCUAGUUGGUGAGGUAAAGGCUCACCAAGGCGACGAUCAGUAGUUGGUCUGAGAGGACGACCAGCCACACUGGAACUGAGACACGGUCCAGACUCCUACGGGAGGCAGCAGUGGGGAAUUUUGAACAAUGGGCGCAAGCCUGAUCCAGCCAUUCCGCGUGAGUGAAGAAGGCCUUCGGGUUGUAAAGCUCUUUCGCAAGGGAAGAAAACUUACCCUCUAACAUAGGGUGAGGUUGACGGUACCUUGAUAAGAAGCACCGGCUAACUACGUGCCAGCAGCCGCGGUAGUACGUAGGGUGCGAGCGUUAAUCGGAAUUACUGGGCGUAAAGCGUGCGCAGGCGGUUUUGUAAGUCAGAUGUGAAAUCCCCGAGCUCAACUUGGGAACUGCGUUUGAAACUCCAAAACUCGAAUAUGUCAGAGGGGGGUAGAAUUCCACGUGUAGCAGUGAAAUGCGUAGAGAUGUGGAGGAAUACCAAUGGCGAAGGCAGCCCCCUGGGAUAAUAUUGACGCUCAUGCACGAAAGCGUGGGGAGCAAACAGGAUUAGAUACCCUGGUAGUCCACGCCCUAAACGAUGUCUACUAGUUGUUGGUGGAGUAAAAUCCAUGAGUAACGCAGCCAACGCGU
rnacentral:rRNA from 1 species